rnacentral:ribozyme from 1 species
UUUUUUUUUUUUUUUUUUUUUUUUUUUUUUUCUG